rnacentral:misc_RNA from 1 species
CAGAAGAUGACAACUUCAUGGAACGCCAAGGGAAAAACUUACUACAGAUAUUCCAUUACAGUUACCAAUAAGUCCGCUAAGACAUUGACAGAUCUUAAGCUUUCAAUAUCUAAGCUUUAUGGUCCUAUGUGGGGUCUCACGAAGUCUGGAGAUUCUUAUGCUUUUCCGUCAUGGCUUAAUUCUUUACCUGCUGGAAAAAGUCUCGAGUUCGUUUAUAUUCAUUCAGCCUCUGCUGCAGAUGUCUCAGUUUCAAGCUACACUUUAGCCUGAAAAAGGAAGAAAAUCAAUUACAGAAACGAGAAAAAGGAUGGUACAACUUCUGGGGUUGUAAUGUAAGAAUUGUGCAGCUAUACAAAAAAUGCAGUCCAGAAUGGUCUUUUUUUUUGUUUUUUUACACCUCUUCUUCAUUUGGGAUUUUCAUCUUGUUGAUUUGGUAUUUAAUUAAGGUUCAGUGAUUUUUAGGUUAAAUAAGGUUGGAGGACGAAAGGAGUGACGAGACAAUUAAAAAGAAGUGCUCAUCCUCUUUCUCCUCCACUUCAUUAGCUUACAUAGAUAUGUUUGAGAGAGACGGUUAAAGAGUGCUAGUUGAGAUGCAAAAGCUCAGGCUUCUCAAUUAAAUUUCAAGAGUCUUUUCUCUUUGUACUUGGAAACAGCUUUGGAUGUUCUUUUUGGUGUGAUGUUGUAAGCUCUGCAACAAAUUUUUUAAACUUCCUAUAUGAAUAUAGUCUCCGGCA